UACGUAGGCAGCGAGCGUUGUUCGGAGUUACUGGGCGUAAAGGGUGUGUAGGCGGUUGUUUAAGUUUGGUGUGAAAUCUCCCGGCUCAACCGGGAGGGUGCGCCGAAUACUGAAUGACUAGAGUGCGGGAGAGGAAAGUGGAAUUCCUGGUGUAGCGGUGAAAUGCGUAGAUAUCAGGAGGAACACCGGUGGUGUAGACGGCUUUCUGGACCGUAACUGACGCUGAUGCACGAAAGCGUGGGUAGCAAACAGG
rnacentral:rRNA from 1 species